AUGGCCUCAACUAAGAUCUAUAGGAGGAAGAGGCUUCAUGUGGGAACUUCUGUACGAGAAGGAAGGGGAAGGUCUGCGCUGGGGACCUGGACUCAACAGCCGGGUUUGAAAAGAUGUGGGAGAAAGGCCUGGUUCUGGUGUACACCACAGAUGAGUGCCACAGCCCGCCCUCAUCCAGUCUUCCUAGCACGGUGGACUUCCGCCACAGAUUUUUGAGAUAUCUGUAAUUAUCUACCAUGGCAACUCUGGGAUUCUCCUGAGAUGAUGGAAUUUUCAGCAUUAUCUGCUGAUGUUCUGAAAUCACAGUCCUCACUGAGGGACCACAGCCACCUGGAAUGAAUGGUCAUUCUACAUAUGCUGGGCAUAUGCAAGCCUUUAAAUUCAAACCCUGUUCAAAUGCAUUAGGCUU